rnacentral:rRNA from 1 species
GUCUAGGGGGCGUAGCAAUACGUCACCGGCGGACGGGUGCGUAACACGUGGGAACGUACCCUUUGGUUCGGAACAACGCAGGGAAACUUGCGCUAAUACCGAAUGUGCCCGAAAGGGGAAAGAUUUAUCGCCAAAGGAUCGGCCCGCGUUCGAUUAGCUUGUUGGUGAGGUAACGGCUCACCAAGGCAACGAUCGAUAGCUGGUCUGAGAGGACGAUCAGCCACACUGGGACUGAGACACGGCCCAGACUCCUACGGGAGGCAGCAGUUGGGAAUCUUGGACAAUGGAGGAAACUCUGAUCCAGCCAUGCCGCGUGAGUGAUGAAGGCCUUCGGGUUGUAAAACUCUUUCGACGGGGACGAUAAUGACGGUACCCGUAGAAGAAGCUCCGGCUAACUUCGUGCCAGCAGCCGCGGUAAUACGAAGGGGGCUAGCGUUGUUCGGAAUUACUGGGCGUAAAGCGCGCGCAGGCGGCCGAUCAAGUCAGGGGUGAAAGCCCGGAGCUCAACUCCGGAAUUGCCUUUGAAACUGAUCGGCUUGAGUACGGGAGAGGUGAGUGGAAUUCCCAGUGUAGAGGUGAAAUUCGUAGAUAUUGGGAAGAACACCGGUGGCGAAGGCGGCUCACUGGCCCGUUACUGACGCUCAGGCGCGACAGCGUGGGGAUCAAACAGGAUUAGAUACCCUGGUAGUCCACGCCGUA